AAGAAAAGGGAACAUAACAGUUUGUAUCACAUUCAGUAAACAUAACAAUUGUUUUUAAGGAAACUGUCUUUCAAUUAUAAUGCACUUGUAUGUGUGAGUAUACUGGGUUGUGAAAUAAAAUGUAUUUUCAAAAAUCUUUGAAAAACGUAGGUUCUGUAGAAUCUAAUGAUUCCUACCACGUGAGUUGAUAUGAGGAUUAAAUGAGUUGGUAGGUAUAAAAUGCUUGAGUAAUACCUAGCAGAUGGCACAAGUUUUAGCUAUUAUUAUUCAGUCACUAACCAGCAAUGUGACCUUGAGUAUGUGACCUAACUUCUCUGGACUUAAUUUUUGUCAGUAAAUAAUCUCUAAAGGCCCUGUGGGCUCCGACAUUCCCAGAGGAGGGACGUGACCAGCACUGACCUUGAGGAAUGAAAUAGCCAAAUGCAAAUCAUUCGUCUUGUUCAACUGACACCUCUGAGGUCUCAGCAAAGCAGCCUGUUCUGUGAAACAUCCUCUAAACUAACUUGCUAUUAUCUUGUGAAAUUCCAUGUGAAGUUGAAAUCAGGGUAGUGGGAAUUUAGAAGAUUUCUAGUAUUUCCCCAUUAAGCAUAACACUGGUUUGGGGGCUGAACUUUACCCUUUGUUUUUACCAUGUUACAGAGGGUUUGUUUAUAUGUCGAUGCCAAAUUUUAUCUGAUGGCUUUUCAGCAUAUAUGGUGAUGAUCUUUCCAUUUUUCUCUUUUGAUCUAUUAAUGAUGUAAUAUUCUUUGGUGUGCUGCUGGAAUUCUAUUUGUUAAUAUAUUAUUUUAAAUUUCUGAAAUAAUUUAUAUAUUUAUAAACAAUAAUAUAUUACUUUUCUUUCCCCUUUUCAAUGAGCUAUUUUUAUUAGAUUUUUGACUGAUAUAUUACCAACUGCCUAAAUAAAAAAGAAUUUCAAUCAUUGAGGUUUUUUAUAUGUAAAUGACUAAACUUUUUAUUUCUACAUAUUAUAGCUGUACUUUUUCAAAUUUACCUGUUCUUUUUUCAUAGUCCUAUGUCCUAUCAUUUUAUCUCUGUAUUUUGACCAUAACUAUUUGAUACUCUUUUUCAAAUUGUUCUAUUGUCUCAGAUACUUAAGGGGCUAAUUUUCCUGUUUAUUACAUUUACCAGUUCACACCCUCAUGUGGUUCAUUUCCUAGUCUGGUUUUUAAUUUUUUA
rnacentral:lncRNA from 10 species